UGCAGCCCUUUCUGUGCUCCAGGAUGGGGUCUGCCGUCCUUCUCACCCUCCUCCUGGCUGUUCUCCCAGGCGUCGGUGCCCAGGUGCAGCUGGUGCAGUCAGGGGCAGAGGUGAGACGGCCCGGGGAGUCUCUGACGAUCUCCUGCAAGGCAUCUGGAUACACCUUCACAAGCUACUGGAUCAGCUGGGUGCGCCAGAGGCCCGGGAAGGGCCUGGAGUGGGUUGGGAACAUCUAUCCUGGUGAUUCUGAUACCGAGUACAGCCCAGCCUUCCAAGGCCGCGUCACCAUCUCCGCCGACAACUCCAUCAGCACCGCUUCCCUGAGGUGGAGCAGCCUAAAGGCGGACGACAGGGCCAUGUAUUAUUGCACGAGGGACACAGCUAGGGGACCUCAGUGGGAGCCCAGACACGAACCUCCAGCGGAGCGCGGCCGCCAGAGGGCGCCCGAGACACAGGCGUGGAGUCACCCAGGGCAGGUGCUUGGGCGGGGCUCAGCUCUGGUGUCUGUUCAGGACUGGGGCUUCCUCUCCGUUAAUCAGUGUCCUCUGGGGAUUCUCUGGAUUCUGUGCUUAUUUGUGAAGUCUCUGAAUUGGGAACUUUGUGAAUUAGUAUAACACUGUAAUUUCACAAAAGGCAGAUAUUCAU